rnacentral:rRNA from 1 species
GACGAACGCUGGCGGCAUGCCUAAUACAUGCAAGUCGAGCGGAGAAUUUGAAGCUUGCUCCAAAUUCUUAGCGGCGGACGGGUGAGUAACACGUGGGCAACCUGCCCUGCAGAUCGGGAUAACUCCGGGAAACCGGUGCUAAUACCGAAUAGUUUGAGGCCUCUCCUGAGGCUUCACGGAAAGACGGUUUCGGCUGUCACUGCAGGAUGGGCCCGCGGCGCAUUAGCUAGUUGGUGGGGUAACGGCCCACCAAGGCGACGAUGCGUAGCCGACCUGAGAGGGUGACCGGCCACACUGGGACUGAGACACGGCCCAGACUCCUACGGGAGGCAGCAGUAGGGAAUCUUCCGCAAUGGACGCAAGUCUGACGGAGCAAUGCCGCGUGAGUGACGAAGGUUUUCGGAUCGUAAAACUCUGUUGUGAGGGAAGAACACGUACCAGCUAACUACUGGUACCUGACGG